AUUUAAGGAGUGUUUGGUCUCAGAAAUCUUUCUCUGUUUGUCCAGAUUUCCAUUUCUGCUGAGAUUUCUUGUUCCUGUUGCUAAGACACGUGUUGCCAUGGAAAUGUCUUCUUUCCCAGUAUAUUAGAGCCAGGGGGGUAAAAAAUCCAUCAUUGUCUUUCAGGGAACAGCAGCCUUAUUGUAUUGUGUUAGAUGCUGCCAUACUC